AUAUAAAGAGUUUAAAUCUUAGUUUGUAUUAAAUUAUAAUAAAUAUAAACGUUAUACAAUGGAUAAUUUUAGAAAGAAACAAAUGUUUGUCACAAAGUAAUUAGUUGUUGAACAAUAGACCAAUUUAUACUAUGAAAUAUAAAUGCAAGCUCUACCUUAUGGAAUAUGAUACUUGUCAGGUGCUACACAGUGUAAAGAAUAUUUACAUAAUUUUUACCCCAUGUGCCUUUUGUUGUCAUUCAUAUCUGAGACCCCAGUUAAAAGUAGAAUUGAAAAAUCUAUAGUAUAAAAAAGCUUGAUAACUUCAAGGUCCUGUCAUGAAAAAUUACAAUUGUCUCAAAAUAUCAUUAAACUUUGUUUCCAUAUAAUAUUCCCUGCUAUUAUUUUAUGGGGAAGGGGGGAUUCCUAUCAAUUGAAAAAAAGCAAAAACCUUUAUGGUAUCACAUCAUUUCCCACUUACCCAUACACAUAUCAGGA
rnacentral:lncRNA from 1 species